GCCCAUCUAGCUCCGUCGGUAGAGCUUGAGACCCUUAUUCUCAUGGUCGUGGGUUCGAGCCCCACGUUUGGCG
rnacentral:tRNA from 1 species